AUGGCUCGCGGCUCGCGCGGCCCUUCAUCGCACGCUUUCGGCCGUGGACUCCUGGCAAUUCUGUGCGAAGCUGCUGCAACAAUUUAUGAAGGGGUGGGGUGCCAACCUGGGCGGGACCUUCGCGAGCGGAAGAAGGCUCUACUAGUCUCCAUCCAGUCCCUUGACAUCCGGGCAGACACCGCGGGCCUCCCAGCCGAGAAAUGGCUGCUUCAUUACGAUCUUGAGGACCAGCUCACGGUCAUCUACACUGACAAGGAGGUGUACUGGCGCCUGCGUGGCACGCGGAAUUGGGUUCUCAAGGGGGACGCCAAUAUGGCCUAUUUUCAGGCUAUCGCCAAUGGUCGGCGGCGCGGAAACUCCAUCCCGCUUCUAUGGGACGGAGCAACCCUCCUGCAGAGUCCGAAGGCCAUCCGUGCCCAUGUUGAUGACUUUUAGAGGGACCUAUUCUCUGCCUGCCCUUCGGGAGGGAGUGCUCUGGCCACAGACAUUUGGCCGACUCCCUGUUGUGUCUCGGAGGAUGAUAACCUGGCAUUGGCGACUCCAUUCUCUAAGGUGGAAGUCUGGGCGGCCAUUAAGGGCAUGAACCCCACUUCCGCGCCGGGUCCCGAUGGCCUUCGAGUGAAGUUCUUGCAAACCUUCUGGAAUGUCAUAAAGCCACAGGUGAUGGCCCUAUUCGAGGAGUUCUUUGUGGGCUCCAUCGACCUCAUUCGGCUUAACUUUGGGAUAAGCACCCUUAUUCCCAAAGUACCGGGGGCCUUUGAUAUCCGCCAGUUCCACCCAAUCACGGUGAUCAAUGUCAUCUUCCGCAUCCUUGCCAAGGGUGGCCCCGAUUGCUGA
rnacentral:rRNA from 1 species